GAAAUGCGAUACGCAAUGCGAAUUGCAGAAUUCCGCGAAUCAUCAGAUUCUUGAACGCAACUGGCGCUGGAGGGAUAUCCUUCCAGCAUGUCUGUUUCAGUGUCUGAAAACAUCCUAAUCAUUUUAAUGUGUUUGACAGAGGUUGAUGAAUUUCAUCUUCCAAAGUCUUACAUGAAAGAUGUAUGUGUGGGUCUUUGGAUCCAUCGAAUUGGUCACUGAUUCUUCGGUGAUUUCGAUUGGAUAUCACCAAUUACUCGUAUACGCAUAGAAUAUAUUUAUCUUUAUCAUCUGCAUCUGAAAUCAGGCAAGAAAACCCGCUGAACUUAA
rnacentral:misc_RNA from 1 species